GUCCUUUAGAUUUGAAUUGAAGGUCUAACCUGCCCGCUGAAAAAUUUUGAAUGGCCGCAGUAAAUUGACUGUGCAAAGGUAGCAUAAUCAAUAGUUUUUUAAUUAAAAGCUUGUAUGAAUGGUUGGACGAGAUAAAGUCUGUCUUUAAUUAAAAAGUAGAAUUUAAUUUUUAAGUUAAAAAGCUUAAAUUUUAUUAAAAGACGAGAAGACCCUAUAGAUCUUUAUAUUAAAUUAAUUAUUUUUAUUAAGGAUUAUUUUGUUAUUUUAAUUAAUUUAUUAUUUUAUUGGGGUAAUAUUAAGAUUUAAAUAAUUCUUUUUAAAAAUAACAUUUAUUUUUGAUUAAUUGAUCCAUUAUUAUUGAUUAUAAGAUUAAGUUACCUUAGGGAUAACAGCGUAAUUUUUUUAGAGAGUUCUUAUCGAUAAAAAAGUUUGCGACCUCGAUGUUGGAUUAAAAGUUAUUUUAGGUGUAGUAGUUUAAAAUUUUGGUCUGUUCGACCAUUGAAUUUUUACAUGAUCUGAGUUCAGACCGGUGUAAGCCAGGUCGGUUUCUAUCUUUAGUUGAUUAAAAUAUUUUAGUACGAAAGGACCAAGUAUUUAAUAUAUUUAUUAUUUUAAAUUUGAAUAU
rnacentral:rRNA from 1 species